UGAGCAAUCUGCCCUUCUCAUCGGAAUAAGCGUUGGAAACGACGUCUAAUGCCGAAUACGACCUCCUUUCGCAUGAUCGGAGGUGGAAAGCUCCGGCGGAGAAGGAUGAGCUCGCGGCCUAUCAGCUAGUUGGUGUGGUAAUGGCCACCAAGGCGACGACGGGUAGCCGGCCUGAGAGGGUGACCGGCCACACUGGGACUGAGACACGGCCCAGACUCCGUACGGGAGCAG
rnacentral:rRNA from 1 species